GACGAACGCUGGCGGCGUGCUUAACACAUGCAAGUCGAACGAGACGAUUGAAAGCUUGCUUUCGAAAGCCGAGUGGCAAACGGGUGAGUAACGCGUAGACAACCUGCCUUUGAGAUGGGGACAACAGUUCGAAAGGACUGCUAAUACCGAAUGUUGUAUAUUUUCCACAUGGAAGAUAUAUUAAAGAUGGCCUCUAUUUAUAAGCUAUCGCUCAAAGAUGGGUCUGCGUCUGAUUAGCUAGUUGGUGGGGUAACGGCCUACCAAGGCGACGAUCAGUAGCCGGUUUGGGAGGAUGAACGGCCAAAUUGGGACUGAGACACGGCCCAGACUCCUACGGGAGGCAGCAGUGGGGAAUCUUCCACAAUGGACGAAAGUCUGAUGGAGCAACGCCGCGUGAGUGAAGAAGGGUUUCGGCUCGUAAAGCUCUGUUGUCGGGGACGAAUGUGCAUUACUUGAAUAAAGUAGUGUAAUGACGGUACCUGACGAGGAAGCCACGGCUAACUACGUGCCAGCAGCCGCGGUAA
rnacentral:rRNA from 1 species